rnacentral:rRNA from 1 species
AGGUCAAGUGAAGAAGGGCGCACGGUGAAUGCCUUGGCACUGGAAGCCGAUGAAGGACGCGACUAACCGCGAAAGUCUUCGGGGAGCCGUAAGUAGGCUUUGAUCCGGAGGUCUCCGAAUGGGGGAACCCAGCAUGUGCAGACAUGCUAUCCUUAAGUGAAUACAUAGCUUAAGGAGGGAACACGCAGUGAACUGAAACAUCUAAGUAGCUGCAGGAAGAGAAAGAAAUAUCGAUUUCCCAAG